rnacentral:rRNA from 1 species
GACGAACGCUGGCGGCGUGCUUAACACAUGCAAGUCGAACGGAAAGGCCCUGCUUUUGUGGGUUGCUCGAGUGGCGAACGGGUGAGUAACACGUGAGUAACCUGCCCUUGACUUUGGGAUAACUUCAGGAAACUGUGGCUAAUACCGGAUAGGAGCUCCUGCUGCAUGGUGGGGGUUGGAAAGUUUCGGCGGUUGGGGAUGGACUCGCGGCUUAUCAGCUUGUUGGUGGGGUAGUGGCUUACCAAGGCUUUGACGGGUAGCCGGCCUGAGAGGGUGACCGGCCACAUUGGGACUGAGAUACGGCCCAGACUCCUACGGGAGGCAGCAGUGGGGAAUAUUGCACAAUGGGGGGAAGCCUGAUGAAGCAACGCCGCGUGCGGGAUGACGGCCUUCGGGUUGUAAACCGCUUUCGCCUGUGACGAAGCGUGAGUGACGGUAAUGGGUAAAGAAGCACCGGCUAACUACGUG